AACCUCUCAGGGUCACACCUGGGGAGUUUCUAGUACUCUACCGGUCUCGACUGUGGGAGGGAGAGUAAAGCAGAGGCCUACCCAUUCCAUUCCUAGCUUGGGCAGUGGCUAGCAAAUGGGAGGAAAUCUGCUACGAGU